UACAGAGGUGGCAAGCGUUGUUCGGAAUUACUGGGCGUAAAGGGCGCGUAGGCGGCCUUGUAAGUCUCGUGUGAAAGCCCUCGGCUUAACUGAGGAUCUGCACGGGAUACUGCGAGGCUUGAGUUCGGGAGAGGAAAGCGGAAUUCCGGGUGUAGCGGUGAAAUGCGUAGAUAUCCGGAGGAACACCAGUGGCGAAGGCGGCUUUCUGGUCUGUAACUGACGCUGAGGCGCGAAAGCGUGGGGAGCAAACAGG
rnacentral:rRNA from 1 species